rnacentral:rRNA from 1 species
GACGUAGGGCGCGAGCGUUGUCCGGAUUUAUUGGGCGUAAAGCGCUCGUAGGCGGGAUUGGAAGUCCGUGUUGAAAGACCUCGGCUCAACUGAGGGACCGGCUCGGAUACUCUAAUUCUUGAGGCAAUCAGAGGAUGAUGGAAUUCCCGGUGUAGCGGUGAAAUGCGUAGAUAUCAAGUGGAACACCAGUGGCGAAGGCGAGUCUCUGGACAUUUCCUGACGCUGAGGCACGAAAGCCAGGGGAGCAAACGGG